rnacentral:sRNA from 1 species
GAGAGCCAAAUGAAUCAAAAGAU